AACUAGCCCCGAUUGAAGUGGAAAUCCUUUUGCUUUUUCUUUAAAAAGCAAAAGAUUGCAACAAAAAGCGGGAACCCAU
rnacentral:sRNA from 1 species